UAACCGCAUCAGGUCUCCA
rnacentral:snRNA from 1 species